GGCCGCGUGGCCUAAUGGCUAAGGCGCUAGAUUUCGGUCCUCCCUUGACGAUAUUCUCUAGAGAUUCCAGGUUCGACUCCUGGCGUGGUCG
rfam:Cordyceps militaris CM01 unplaced genomic scaffold CCM_S00002, whole genome shotgun sequence.